UGGGUCAUUUAUGUAGCAGAGAGACAGCAGUGCUUCAGACACAACCUAGAGCAAGUCUUCUUGCUGCCAAGGCAGCCCUCUAAUCCUAGUCCCUAAAUGGAGCUUAUGUUAAUAGAAAAACCGGUUGCUUCAAGAUGAAUAUUGAGAUGUGGCUGUCUGCAACAGGAAUGGAUCCAACCUGAUGACGCGGGUGGCCUCUUCUUGCCUAGUAUUCUUUGUACAGGAAGGUCAUGCAUGAGCGAUAAUAGAGGUCCUGGGAGUCAUUCUGACUCUUCUUAAUCCCAGCUGCUGCUUUUGCUGUUUGUUGAAUUUCUCCUGGUUUCCCUGAAGUUUUCCAACUUUUACCAGCAGCUGCAACCAAUCAACCCCCUUGCCUCCAAAUCUGCUGCCAGUCCCAGGGAAACCUCUCUGGCUGCAUGGCUUAUUUUCCCUCUGCUAUUUCUGCUUCCUGUUGUUUCAACAAUAACUACGUGGAGGGGCAUUUAAUUGCUCUUUCCAUUUAGCCUGGAUGAAGUGUACUCAGCACACCCAUGUGCUUUAGCAUGGCUUCUAGAUCAAAGCCCCUCUUUUACAACAGUUAUUUACAUCUUCCAGACUAACUUUUCCACCCACAAAGAGAGGCUUUUACCUUCCUUUUCCAAAAUGAGUAUAGCACUUCAAAAAUGCUGAGCCAGAUCUGCCAAUUCAGGAGUCAAACUUAAUUUCAGAGAUCAAAUUAAUGAAAAACAAGACUAAACAAGUUUUCAAAGUACUGGUUCUAGUGACAAUUUUUAUAUCCAACCACAUUAUUUAUAUACUGAAACAACAUAGGUCAUGCUUUCCAAACAUCUAAAGUCUUACAGGAACAUGGUAUUGUUGAGUUUCAAUUAAGCUAAAUUAUUAAUGAUUUUUGUGUCUAAUUGCAUUAUUACCUCAACUAUGGACAGAUUUGGGUCAGCAGCUCAGAUAAUUCUUAUGCAGGGCUAUUUUGUGAUCCAUGUCCAAGCUACCAGUCACCACCAGUUUUCUGCAGUGUGUUUGCAUGGCCUUCCCAGUUGCAAUGGCUUUGUGAGCAAGGUGGAUCUCGGUAUGUACAUAAAGAAUGGUAAUCUGCUUCAACCAGACGUCAUGCUUUUGGGGGCAGCACCCCACCCUGAGCAUCUGUGCUAGAAAUUCUUCCUAUGUCCCUACUGCCUCCCCUUCAAGAAGCACAGAAACAGCACCACUGCUUACAGAAAGAGGAGUACAGAAGGAGUACUUCUUCCACUGAGACACUAGGAACCCAUCUUCCACAGUGCAAGACUUUGGGAUUACUGAUAUGGACUGAGAGGAAAUACGUCAGCUGCAUAUUAGGGAGGGACUGGAUGCUCCAUGGCACUUUCUGUCCUUUGUGCUGUUCUGAUGGUGCCAAGCUGUUACAAACCUGCUUUAACUGGCUGGUGUGCCAGUAUUAAAUAAUUUAUUAUUAUUAAAUAAAA